CAUGCUGGGGAUAGACACCAGGGCCUCCUGUAUGCUAGGUAAACGCUCUAACACCGAGCUACUUCCCCAGCCUUGGCCCCUCUGUAAGUGUGAGUCCCACAGGUAGCCACCAUCUCUCUGAUUUUAAUGUUUUGCUCUCUCUCUCAGAAGGAGAAAGAUUUGCUUCUAACUUCCCAUCUAAGAAACAACAGUAUUUCUGCCACAGCCAGCCACAGAUCCUUAGUGCAGGCUUGUUUGACGUCAGACAUCAGAUGGAGCCUUUUUUUUAUGGCACUUCAAAAAAGGCACUUGGGCCUCACGGGCUGCACAAUUGAAAUUUUACAGCUUCUGCUCAUGGUAGGAACAGGUCCCAAGGAUGCUAUCAACCUUUACAAACACUUGGGGCAUAUUUCAGGAUCGUGUGGCAUCGCUCACAUUAAAGGCAACAUGAGAUCACAGGGGCUCCGUGGACACAGCCUUCAGGGCCAGCGGAAGCUCCAUCCAUCAGCGCACACCUCCCCUCCCAGGGUACAUUGACUUAAACAGCCACAGUCAGGGGGCAUAGAGUCCACACUACUCACCAACCUUUGCCUGGCCACUUAGCCUUUUACAACUCCAUGUCCCUUCCAAUAAAACAGAAAAUUCUAGAUGUGAGCUCUCUCCUGCUGUUCUAGCAUCGUGCCUGCCUGCUGCCAUGCUCCCACCUUGAUGGUCAGGGAGUCCAAAAACACUGUUCCCUUGGUUGUGGUGCUUUAGCACAGCAAUAGAGACAUAAUUACGACAGUAGCCAAUCCUGGCAAAGCCUUCGUGUAGUUAGAGCGCCUACAGCUCGGCCGACACACUUGUGGUAGUAAAAAGACAGCAGAGAUUUACCCCCACACAGUCCUCACUCACUCUGAGCUCUUAUUGUCACUGAUGGCCAGUGGUUGGGAUCACUGUUCGCACCCAGUGUUUCUAAGUUCUUGGUGUUUUACUCAGAAUGAAGUAAAAGCCACACAGAUUUGUAAACGUAGCAAGGAAGCUUUAUUUGAAACACAGUCAUGGUACAGGUCGACAGUGGGCCACAUGAGUAAAGGUACUCAGGGGCUCUGAUUACAGCCAGCGCUUCAUUUUGUAGGAAUCAGGAGAGAGACGGUGGUAUCAAGAGGUGGAGUCUAAGCGGUUCUGUAUUUUGACUAUCAGAUCAGGUCAUUCCUCUACUGGACAUGUCUGUGCCCAUAAUCCACCUGAUUUUAAUCUAUGCACAUGAAUUAUCCAUAGGCAUAAGAUGGUCACUAGGGAACUCUCCCUUAAAGUGUACUUGCAGAGGCUGUUUUGUUUUAUUACGUAUGCACCAAAGACCCCUUGCCCCCCGUUUCUUGAUUGUGUUCCAGGGUGUGUUUAGACCAAGGUGGGGCUCUAUCACAGAGGUGCUAAGGAGAGUAAUGAUUUCCAUCACUUUAAACAGGUGCACAGGGGCUUGAGACAGAUAGGAGUCCUAAGCUGCUAACCAAUUGCUAGGUACACUGUUCAGUGAGGGGUGUAUACAUGGCUCAAUCAAGCAGAGUUCUAGUUUCUGAGCUAUUCCCUAUGCUUUCUGGACUCACUCUUGUGUUCUAGAUAGUCUCUCUGGGGCGUCAGGUGAGUCAUGUCUGAGAGCCUGGUAGAGACUUAGAGCUAGAAGUCAACACAUGCUCUUCUCCACGAUCUUUUGCUUCCUUGUAACACAUUACCUGGUCUCCCCGAGGCAAGUGCCCUCAGCCGACCCAACUAUUCCUACAAUAAGCCUUGGGAGUCACACUAGGACACAGCCAUGCUUCUUUGCUCUGAGCUACGGCAAACAGCAUUUGGACUCAAAGAAGGGAACUUGGGAUUCCCUUUGGGUGAACAGAACACCAACCUCACUGAAAAGAGCAGAGGAAGGGCCAUGGCAAAGGAUUCAAGUGGCAGUGCUGACUGGUGGCAAGGAAGGCCUGUGGUCAGGCUCUGGAGCCCAGACUCUGAGCCCAGGAGUGGUGUUCCUACAGGGAAGGAAGGCAGAUGGUAGUGAAGGCUUGAGGCCCACCAACACUCCGAACCAACCUGGUGCUCCUUUUGGCUCCUCCCUUGUCCAUGCCACAUGACUAGACUUUCCACAGACAUCCACCAAGAGUCCUGGACAUCCAGACGCCUGUGUCAUACCUAGACAGCCACUAUAUACAGGCCCAGAUCCUUGGUCACCAGAAGCCUGGCUCUGCUAUCCUCUCUACAAUGAUGCCUUAGGUGGAGACACUACAUCCUACCUUGGACCAUGGCAGCUUCCUGCCUAAAGUGCCCUGUUCUUGCUUAACAUGAAGUCCUUUUCAAUGCCGAAAGAGAGAGACUGAUCCUGUGGCUUCUACCUGGGGGCAGGUGUGCAGGGGCUGCCUUAGCUGUCUGUCUCCCUGGAUAUGCUGGACUCUGUCUACCCUGUGGUUCAUGGACCUGCAUGCAGGGGGGUGGGUGUCUCUGUUUACUCGUGAGUGAAUUCAUGGUAAGAGCAAAUAAGGGCUUGAUGUUGGUGUUUGGCUUUGUUUAAUUUAAAGACUGAUUUUUUUUUUACAUAUUUCUGUGGUGCCCACAGAAGUCAGAAGAGGGUGGCAGAUCUCCUGGAACUGAAGUUACAGAGGGCUGCGAGCUGCCAAGUGGGUGCUAAGGACCAGGGUCCUCUAAAAAAGCAGCAAGUGCUCUUAAUCACUCAGCGUUCUCUCCAGCCCCAAGCAAACAAGGGUUAAAAGCACACUCUGGCCCAAGUAACCCCGUAAACACUACACAGGAACUAAUAAACUCAUCUAGAACUCUCAACACCCAAAAACAAGAGUCCUUUAGGUCCACAAAGCCAAUAAGGCCAGUCACCAUUCUGCUGUGAGCACAUACUCGUGUUAGCUCAUCCUAGUGAGCCCAUUAUGCUGUGAGCCCAUCCUAAUGUGAGACCAUCUGACUGUAGCCCAUUAUACUGUGAGCCAUCCUACUGUGAGCCCUUCCUACUGUGAGCCCAUCCUGCUGUGAGACCGUCCUGCUAUGAGCCCAUCCUACUGUGAGCACAUGCUGCUGUGAGCCCAUCCUGCUUGAGGCCAUCAUGCUGUGAGCCCAUCCUACUGUGAGCCCAUCCUACUGCGAGCAAUACUACUGUGAGCCCAUCCUACUGUAACCCCAUCCUGCUGUGACCCCAUCUUGCUGUGAGCUCCUCCUGCUGUGAGCCCAUCCUGCUGUGAGCCCAUCCUGUUGUGAGCCCAUCCUGUUGUGAGCCCAUCAUGCUGUGAGCCCAUCCUGCUGUGAGCCCAUCCUGCUGUGAGCCCAUCCUACUGUGAGCCCAUCCUACUGUGAGCCCAUCCUACUGUGAGCCCAUCCUACUGUGAGUCCAUCCUAUUGUGAGCCCAUUCUACUGUGAGCCCAUCCUACUGUGAGCUCAUCCUACUGUGAGCAAUGCUACUGUGAGCCCACCCUACUGCGAGCCCAUCCUACUUCUGUGCCCAUCCUACUGUAGCCUAUGCUACUGCCAGCCAUACUACUAUAAGCCAAUCCUACUGUGAGCCCAUCAUGCUGUGACCCCAACAUACUGUGAGCCCAUCCUACUGUGAGCUCAUCCUACUGUUAGCCCAUCCUGCUUUAGCCCAUCCUACUGCCAGCGAAUCUACUCAGAACCGAUCCUACUGGGAGCCCAUCCUGCUGUGAUCCCAUCCUACUGUGAGCCCACCCUGCUGUGACACCAUCCUACUGUGAGCCCAUCCUGCUGUGAGCCCAUUCUACUCUAAGCACAUCCUACUGUGAGCCCAUCCUACUGUGAGCCCACCCUACUGCGAGCCCAUCCUACUUCUGUGCCCAUCCUACUGUAGCCUAUGCUACUGCCAGCCAUACUACUAUAAGCCAAUCCUACUGUGAGCCCAUCAUGCUGUGACCCCAACAUACUGCGAGCCCAUCCUACUGUGAGCCCAUUUUGUAAUAAGCCCAUCUGGCUGUGAGCCCAUAUUGCUGUGAGCCCAUCCUACAGUAAGCCCAUCCUACUGCGAGCAAUACUACUGUGACCCCAUCCUACUGUGAGCCCCUCCUGCUGUGAGCCCUCCUACUGUAAACCUAUCCUAUUGUGAGUCCAUCCUACUGUGAGCCCAUUCUACUCUAAGCACAUCCUACUGUGAGCCCAUCCUACUGUGAGCCCAUCCUGCUGUGACACCAUCCUGCUGUGAGACCAUCAUACUUUGAGCCCAUCCUACUGAGAACACAUCCUACUGUGACCCAUCCUGCUGUGAGCACAUCCUACUGUGAGCACAUCCUACUGUGAGCCCAUUCUGCUGUGAGCCCAUCCUGUUAUGAGCCCAUCCUGCUUUGAACCAAUACUGCUGUGAUCCCAUCCUGCUGUGAGCCCAUCCUACUGAGAGCCCAUUCUACUGAGAGCCCACCCCACUGUGAACCCAUCCUACUGUGAGCCCAUCCUACUGUGAGCCUAUCCUGCUGUGAGGACAUCAUACUAUGAGUCCAUCCUGCUGUAGGCCAUCCUGAUGCCAGCCCAUCCUGCUGUGAGCGCAUCCUACUGUGUGCCCAUCCUGCUGUGACACCAUCCUAGUGUGAACUCAUUAUACUUGAGCCCAUUCUACUGUGAGCCCAUCCUACUUCAAGCCAUGCUAUUCUCAGCCCAUCCUAACGUGAGGCCAUUUUUCCAUAAGGCCAUCUUCUGUGAGCCCAUUCUGCCAUAAGCCCAUCCUGCUGUGAGCCCAUCUUACUGUGAACCCAUCCUACUGUGAGCCCAUUCUACUGUGAGCCCAUCCUAAUUUGAGCCCAUUGUGCUGUGAACCCAUCGUACUGUGAGCACAUUCUACUGUGAGCCCAUCCUGCUGUAAAACCAUCCUACUGUGAGCCCAUCCUACUGUAAGCCCAUCCUACCGUGAGCCCAUCCUAUUGUGAUUCCAUCCUACUGUAAGCCCAUCCUGCUGUAAGCCCAUCCUAUUGUGAGGGCAUCAUACUGUGAUUCCACCCUACUGGAACCCAUCCUGCUGUGAGCCCAUCCUGUUGUGAGCCCAUCCUACUGGGAACCCAUCCUAUUGUAGCCCAUCCUACAGUGAGUCCAUCCUACUGUUAGACUAUCCUGCUGUGAUCCCAUCCUGCUGUGAGCCUAUCCUGCUGAGAACCCAUCCUGCUGUGAGCCCAUCCUACUGUGAGCCCAUCCUGCUGUGAGUCCAUCCUACUCUAGGACAUUCUGCCAUAAGCUCAUUCUGCUGUGAGCCCAUCCAACUGUGAGCCUAUACUUCUGUGAGCCCACCCUAGAGUGAGCCCAUCCUGGUGUGAGCCCAUCCGACUAUAGCCCAUCCUACUGUGAGCCCAUCCUGCUGUGAGCACAAUCUGCCAUAAGACCAUCCUGGUGUGAAUCCAUCCUGCUGUAGACCAUCCUGCUGGGAGCCCAUCCUAAUGUGAGCCCAUCUUGCUGUUAGCCCACCCUACUAUGAGCCCAUCCUACUGUGAGGCAAUCCAACUGUAGCCCAUCCUACUGCCAGCCGUGCUAAUGUGAGCCCAUUGUAAUGUGAGCCCAUCCUGUUGUGAGCCCAUCCUACUGUGAGCCCAUCUUGCUGUGAUCACAUCCUGCUAUGAGCCCUUCCUACUCUGAGCUCAUUCUGCUGUAAGCCUAUCCUACUGUGAGCCCAUCCUACUGUGAGUCAAUCCAACUGUAACCCAUCCACUGCCAGCCAUUCUCCUGUGAGUCCAUGCUUCUCUGACACAAUCCUACUGUUAGCCCAUACUAUUGUGAGCCCAUCCUAAUGUGAGCCCAUCCUACUGUGAGCCCAUCCUGCUGUGAGCCCAUCCGACUAUGAGCCCAUCCUACUGUAGCCCAUCCUGCUGUGAACCCUUCAUAUUGUCAGGCCAUCAUACUCUGAGUCAAUCCUAUUGUACCCCUUCCUUCUGUGAGCACAUCUUGUUGUGAGCCAUCCUACUGUGAGCCCAUUCUUCAAUAAGCACAUCUUCCUGUGACUCAUGCUGCUGUGAUCCCAUCAUGCUGUGAGCCAAUCCUGCUGUGAGACCAUUGUUCCAUAAGCCCAUCCUACAGUGAGCCCAUCCUACAGUGAGCCCAUCAUGCUAUGAGCCCAUCCUACUGUGAGCCCAUCCUGCUGUGAGCACAUCCUACUGUGAGCCCAUCCUGCUGUGAGCACAUCCUACUGUGAACCCAUUCUGCCAUAAGCCCAUCCUGUUGUGAGCCCAUCCUGCUGUGAGCACAUCCUACUGGGAACACAUCUUACAUGAGCCCAUCAUGUUGUGAGCCCAUCCUACUGUUAGCCCAUCCUACUGUGAUCCCAUCCUACUGCAAGUCAUGCUACUGUGAGCCCAUCCUGUGGGCCCAUCAGCUGUGAGCCCAACCUGCUGUGAGCCCAACCUGCUGUGAGCCCAUCCUACUGUAAUCUCAUCCUACUGUGACACCAUCCUUCUGUGAACCCAUCCCACUCUAAGCCUAUCCUAUUGUGAGCCAAUCCUUCUUGAGACCAUUCUACUGUGAGUCCUUCCUGCUGUGACACAAUCCUACUGUGAGCCCAUCCUACUGUGAAACCAUCCUAUUUUGAGCCAAUUCUACUGUAGCCCAUCCGAAUGUGAGCCUAUCCUACUGCGAGGCAUGCUACUGUUAGCCCAUCCGAAUGUGAGCCCAUCCUAUGUGAGCCCAUCCUAUUGUAGCCCAUCCUGCUGCGAGCCCAUCCGGCUGUGAACCCUUCAUAUUGUGAGGCCAUCAUACUCUGAGUCCAUCCUAUUAUAGCCCUUCCUUCUGUGAGCACAUCAUGUUGUGAGCCCAUCCUACUGUGAGCCCAUUCUUCAAUAAGCACAUCUUGUUGUAAGCCCAUGCUGCUGUGAUCCCAUCCUGCUGUGAGCCCAUUCUUACAUAAGGCCAUCCUACUGUGAGCCCAUCCUGCUGUGAGAACAUCCUACUGUGAGCCAAUUCUGCCAUAAGCCCAUCCUGCUGUGAGCCCAUCCUAUUGGGAACCCAUCCUACUUGAGCCCAUCCUGCUGUGAGCUAAACCUACUGCCAGCCACCCUACUCUGAGUCCAUCCUCCUGUGAGCCCAUCCUGCUGUGAUCCCACCCUACUGUGAGCCUAUCCUUCUGCGAGCAAUGCUACUGUGAUCCCAUCCUACUGUGAGCCCCUUCUGCCAUAAGCCCAUCCUGCUGUGAGUCCAUACUACUCUGAGCCCAUCCAGCUGUGAGCCCAUCCUAUUUUGAACCCAUCCUGCUGUAACAACCUCCUAAUGUGAGCCCAUCCUACUGUGAGCUCAUCCUAUUGUGAGCCCAUCCUACAGUAAGCAAAUCCAACUGUAACCCAUCCUACUGCCAGCCAUUCAAUUCUGAGCGCAUCCUACUGUGAGCCCAUCCUGCUGUGAGCCCAUCCUAUUGUGAGCCCAUCCUGCUCUGAUCCCAUCCUGCUGUGAGCCCAUCCUUCUUGAGAAGAUCCGACUGUGAGUCCUUCCUGCUGUGACACAAUCCUACUGUGAACCCAUCCUACUGUGAGCACAUCCUGCUGUGAGCCCAUCCUACUGUGAGCACAUCCUGCUGUGAGCCCAUCCUGCUGUGAGCCCAUCCUACUGUGAGCCCAUCCUGCUGUGAGCCCAUCCUACUGUGAGCACAUCCUGCUGUGAGCCCAUUCUGCCAUAAGCCCAUACUGCUGUGAGCCUAUCCUGCUGUGAGCCCAUCCUACUGGGAAUGCAUCAUACUUGAGCCCAUCAUGUUGUGAGCCCAUGCUGCUGUGAUCCCAUCCUACUGUGAGCUCAUCCUGCUAUGAGCCCAUGCUACUGUGAGCCCAUCCUGCUGUGAGCACAUCCUAAUGUGAGCCCAUUCUGCCAUAAGCCCUUCCUGCUGCGAGCCCAUCCUGCUGCGAGCCUAUCCUACUGCAAGCCAUGCUACUCUGAGCCUAUCCUGCUGUGAACCCAUCCUGCUGUGAGAUAAUCCUGCUGUGAGCCUAUCCUGCUGUGAGCCCAUCUUACUGCCAGCCAUCCUACUCUGAGCCCAUCCUACUGUGAGCCCAUCCUACUGUGAGCCCAUCAUGCUAUGAGCCCAUCCUGCUGUGAACCCAUCCUGUUGUGAUCCCAUCCUGCGGUGAGCCCAUCCUGUUGCGAGCACAUCCUACUCUGAGCCCAUCCUACUGUGAGCCCAUCCUUCUGUGAGCCCAUCCUACUGUGAGCCCAUCCUACUGUUAGCCCAUCCUGCUGUGAUCCGAUCCUACUGUGAGCCCAUCCUACUGUGAGCCAAUCCUGCUGUGAACCCAUUCUUCCAUAAGCCCCUCCUACUGUGAGCCCAUCCUGUUAUGAGCCCAUCCUACUGUGAACCCAUCCUGCUGUGAGCCCAUCCUACAGUGAGCCCAUCCUGCUGUGAACCCAUCCUACUGUGAGCCCUAUCUUGCAGUGUGCCCAUCCUACUAUAGUACAUCCUGUUGGAAGCCCAUCCUGGUGUGACACCAUCAUAGUGCCAUUCUUCCUUACGCCCAUCCUGCUGUGAGCCCAUCCUACUGUGAGCCCAUCAUGCUAUGAGCCCAUCCUGCUGUGAACCCAUCCUGUUGUGAUCCCAUCCUGCGGUGAGCCCAUCCUGUUGCGAGCCCAUCCUACUGUGAGCCCAUCCUGUUGCGAGCCCAUCCUACUGUGAGCCCAUCCUACUGUGAGCCCAUCCUA
rnacentral:lncRNA from 1 species